rnacentral:rRNA from 1 species
CGGGACGGGUGAGUAAUGUCUGGGAAACUGCCUGAUGGAGGGGGAUAACUACUGGAAACGGUAGCUAAUACCGCAUAACGUCGCAAGACCAAAGAGGGGGACCUUGGGCCUCUUGCCAUCGGAUGUGCCCAGAUGGGAUUAGCUAGUAGGUGGGGUAACGGCUCACCUAGGCGACGAUCCCUAGCUGGUCUGAGAGGAUGACCAGCCACACUGGAACUGAGACACGGUCCAG